GUCCACGCCGUAAACGAUGUCUACUUGGAGGUUGUGGCCUUGAGCCGUGGCUUUCGGAGCUAACGCGUUAAGUAGACCGCCUGGGGAGUACGGUCGCAAGAUUAAAACUCAAAUGAAUUGACGGGGGCCCGCACAAGCGGUGGAGCAUGUGGUUUAAUUCGAUGCAACGCGAAGAACCUUACCUACUCUUGACAUCCAGAGAACUUUCCAGAGAUGGAUUGGUGCCUUCGGGAACUCUGAGACAGGUGCUGCAUGGCU
rnacentral:rRNA from 1 species